rnacentral:rRNA from 1 species
AUGUCUCAGUACAAGCCAAAUUAAGGUGAAACCGCGAAAGGCUCAUUAACAUCAGUUAUGGUUCCUUAGAUCGUACCCACACUUACUUGGAUAACUGUGGUAAUUCUAGAGCUAAUACAUGCAAACAGAGCUCCGACCGGAGACGGAAGGAGCGCUUUUAUUAGAUCAAAACCAAUCGGUGGCGGGUUCGCUCGUCAUCGUAUAACUUGGUGACUCUGAAUAACUUUAAGCUGAUCGCACGGUCUAGCACCGGCGACGCAUCUUUCAAAUGUCUGCCUUAUCAACUGUCGAUGGUAGGUUCUGCGCCUACCAUGGUCGUAACGGGUAACGGGGAAUCAGGGUUCGAUUCCGGAGAGGGAGCCUGAGAAACGGCUACCACAUCCAAGGAAGGCAGCAGGCGCGCAAAUUACCCACUCCCGGCACGGGGAGGUAGUGACGAAAAAUAACGAUACGGGACUCAUCCGAGGCCCCGUAAUCGGAAUGAGUACACUCUAAACCCUUUAACGAGGAUCAAUUGGAGGGCAAGUCUGGUGCCAGCAGCCGCGGUAAUUCCAGCUCCAAUAGCGUAUAUUAAAGUUGUUGCGGUUAAAAAGCUCGUAGUCGAAUUUGUGUCCCGCGCCGCCGGUUCAUCGUCCGCGGUGUUAACUGGCGUGCCGCGGGACGUCCUGCCGGUGGGCUUAGCUCUUCGGGGCGGUCCAACUCAAUCCCGCCGCGGUGCUCUUCACUGAGUGUCGAGGUGGGCCGGCACGUUUACUUUGAACAAAUUAGAGUGCUUAAAGCAGGCUAAAACUUCGCCUGAAUACUGUGUGCAUGGAAUAAUGGAAUAGGACCUCGGUUCUAUUUUGUUGGUUUUCGGAACCCCGAGGUAAUGAUUAAUAGGAACGGAUGGGGGCAUUCGUAUUGCGA